UUUUUUAAUGUUGUACGUCUGUUAAUAAUUUGAAGGAGUCGAGUGUGUAAAAUUUAAAUUUCAAUAUUCAUUGUCAGUUUUACAAAAUUUAACCCCUUUUCCUUUCAUCGCCAAUAUCAAAAUUUGUAUAUAAAAAUAAGGAGAUAUGAUAUGAUUGUUAAUUAAACAACUAUCCACCAAAGUUCAAAUAAAGUGGAGGUAUGCAAGUAUAGGCAACUGUAUGGGCUUCAACAGUGAGAAAAACCCAUACCGUAAAGUCGGCUAUAAAAGGCCCCAACAUGACAAAUAUGAAACAAUUCAAUUGAGAAAACUUACGACCUAAUUUAUGACAAAACAAUUUAUGAAAAACAAAUAUGACAGACUUGAACCAACGACAACCACUGAACUACAGGCUCCUGACUUAGGACAGGCACAUACAGAAUCUGGUGGGGUUAAACAUAUAUGUGAGCCCUCAACCCUCC
rnacentral:lncRNA from 1 species